AUAGGAGUUAUGUAAUGAGUGCCAACUAGAUAGCUACCAAUAAACACUAAAUGACUAAGAUGAGCAAAAUAAGAGGACACCGUAAGACUAUGAGUUUGACUGUCCCUCUGGUAUCGUUCGCACCUCUUUUUAACAAUCAUUCGAAGCAAUACCGUAGAGUAAACUAUGAAAGCUCUAACAAUAAAAAGAUAUGCGAAAUACUUGUAUGAUGUAUACAACAAGAGAC
rnacentral:lncRNA from 1 species